AAAAAACCCAAAAAGUCAAUCAUCUUUGGAGAUGUGUGAAUUAUGUUCGAUGUCUGUACAAGCUUUAAUCAGAAACAUUUAUGUCUUAGCUUUAAAAACACCUUUAUUACGGAAUGUUAAGAAGUUGAACUCUCAGAAUUGUUUACUUUUACAAUGUUUAUUGUGCUUUUAAAGCAGAAUCGGCAACUUUCAUUUUACGGCGCAUACAACUCUAAACAGUGUGUACAAUGAUUACCUGCAAUUCGGCGGAAUCCUUCCCUGACUUUACUGGCCAUGUCACCCACCGGGAAUUUAAUAAGGUGUGUGAACACCUCAAUAAUUGCCCUUGCCACAGAUUUUACCACUCUUCCUGCAGACGAUUCUGACACAUUCAAACUGUCCCCAACAAGUCGCAGGUGUGCCCCGGUGGCCACGAAUCGUAGGAAAAGGAGCACCUGGAUCAGCGGGGGAAUCGGCCGAUUCCUGGCAGUGUCUGUCUCUAGGAUGUUGUUGACUCCAUCCACGAUAAACAGAAUGGUUUCUGUAGAAAACCUGUAUCUUUGAUACACUUCUUCCUCAUCAAGACUUUCAAGAGGAUUACUUAGGUCUCGAAAAACACGGGGCCGCCUCAUUGGAACCGCGUUCUGUCUUCUGCGACGCCGACGUCUGACAAUGGCAGCCAUUUUGUUUGCUUGAGAAAAUUCUUAAGUCUACUUUUUUGUAUACUCAAAUAUUUGAGAAUAAAACAGAAUUUGAG
rnacentral:sRNA from 1 species